rnacentral:rRNA from 1 species
UACGUAGGGACCGAGCGUUGUCCGGAUUCAUUGGGCGUAAAGAGCUCGUAGGCGGCUGCUCAAGUCGAAUGUGAAAACUCGAGGCUCAACCUCGAGCCUGCAUUCGAUACUGGGCGGCUAGAGUCUGGUAGGGGGAUCUGGAAUUCCUGGUGUAGCGGUGAAAUGCGCAGAUAUCAGGAGGAACACCGAUGGCGAAGGCAGGUCUCUGGGCCACUACUGACGCUGAGAAGCGAAAGCAUGGGGAGCGAACAGG